GACGUAGGGCGCGAGCGUUGUCCGGAUUUAUUGGGCGUAAAGAGCUCGUAGGCGGCUUGUCGCGUCGUCCGUGAAAACCUGUGGCUCAACUGCAGGCUUGCGGUCGAUACGGGCAGGCUAGAGUUCGGUAGGGGAGACUGGAAUUCCUGGUGUAGCGGUGAAAUGCGCAGAUAUCAGGAGGAACACCGGUGGCGAAGGCGGGUCUCUGGGCCGAUACUGACGCUGAGGCGCGAAAGCUAGGGGAGCAAACAGG
rnacentral:rRNA from 1 species